GCUACCCAAUCGGUACAGUCUAUAAAUAUCCUUUUGGACGAGAUUUUUGGCCAAGUGUUUGAGAGCAAGAGGGGAAUUAGGCCAAGGCUUCAUUUGAAUCAUACAAGAUGGACUCUCAUUGAGUCGUUUGAAACACGAGGAGUUAUGGUUAGCUAGAAGAACAUCCAAGAUAGACAGAAAAAUUUUCAAGUGCUGCUGAGGAUCUUCGACUUGUGACCCCAUAGUCCCUUGUUCUGCAAC